UACGGGGGGGCAAGCGUUGUUCGGAAUUACUGGGCGUAAAGGGCUCGUAGGCGGCCAACUAAGUCGGAUGUGAAAUCCCCAGGCUUAACCUGGGAAACUGCAUCCGAUACUGGAUGGCUUGAAUCCGGGAGAGGGAUGCGGAAUUCCAGGUGUAGCGGUGAAAUGCGUAGAUAUCUGGAGGAACACCGGUGGCGAAGGCGGCAUCCUGGACCGGCAUUGACGCCUGAGGAGCGAAAGCCAGGGAGCGAAAC
rnacentral:rRNA from 1 species